AUUAUUUCACAUUUUGUUCGUUUCAAAUGAGGAGGAAGCUGAAACAAUGAUCUCUCCUGUACUCUUCAGUGACCCCCCUCAAAGUUCCAAUUUCCUUGCCUGCUCCCUAAGAGUGUUAACAGGGUUUUAUGAAGAUGCACUCAUGGAAACAACCUGAACCGAACCCUUUGUGCUCUAAAGAUGUGGCCUGGAUUUUGACUUCAGUUUGCAUUUCUACGGUGUGCUAAUGCAAUGAAGAAAAAGCCGGCUAUUUGCUUUAGGUACUUGAUGAAUUUCUCCUGAGUUACCUUCAGCUUUGUAAAGUUAUAAGUAAAGCAUGCAACUUCUGUGUUUGGCAGGGACCUUGCUGAAGUUCAAAACCAGACCAGCAACAACGUCAGAGUUCAAUAAGGAGACAUGCAGAUCUCUGUGUGGGAGAGACAGAAUAACCCCAGGCACCUCCACAGGCUGAGAAGCCACCAGUGGAGCAGCAGCCCUGCCAAAGGGGACCCACAGACAUGACAGUGGGUGUCAGGUUGAACACAAGCCUCCCACAUACAGGGCUUCCAGGCUGUUUUGUGGAGGAAUUUUAUGAUACUGUGAGGCCUAAGAUGAAAGAACCUCUCACUCCAGGUAGGUUUUGAACUGGGACCUAAAUGUCAGCAUUAUAGAAAUUAGACACUGAUGUCUGCCUAAGCAUUUCACGCGAUAAGCCUUCCACUAUUUGCUUGGGAAAUUAUAACAUGUUUUUUAUGUUAAUUUUCUCACAUUACAUUAAGUCUGCAAUAUCUUUAUUUACCAUCAACUUCACUAAUUUUACCUGUCAGAGAAAUAAAGUAUCUGAAUUAAUACAUAAUUAUGCAUGAAAAUCAGUAAGUUAAAGUCAGAAAAGUAGUUUAAAUGACUGCUGCAUGUUUAAGCCACCAAUGGUGCCUCAGGCCCACCCAUAAAAAAAAAAAAACAUUUAUUUUUGGAUGCGAAUGGCUGUCUACCGAAAGCUUUACCAGACACUUUACAAGAUCCCCAGGAUUUGCAGCCCUGCAGAGCUGGCACCAGGCUGAACUGGAUGUGCGUGCACCCAGACCGCGGGACCAGUAAUGGGUGUGAGUCAUUCAUGAAACAGAAAGCAGACAAACCAACAGUGCUGCUCCAAACCACGUACAAAACAAAAGUUUUACCGUGCAUACAGUUACUCAGAUUCUGAUGACUUCAAGUAUCAGCCUUGUCUUACCUUUGUCAUCACAACUGAUCAUGUUCCUUUGCCUAUCAGGGUUGACUAUGUUAUCUUAAAACAAACUUUCAUAUCUAAAUGGCAUCGUACUGUUAACUGAUAAAAUAACUGAAAAGCACAUCAUCAGUCUUCUCUAACAUUCUGAGGAAAGAUGCUGCAAGUCAUUUAGAAAGUGUCACAGCUUUGUUUAACCCACCCGUUAGAUAUUCCAAUGUUGGCAUAGACUCCAUAAAGAUAGAACUUUAUCUUUUUACUAACAGUUUCUUUUCAUGUUUUUAGUGUUAACUAGUAUUUGAUAAGUAUAAAAUCACGCCUAAAACUACAAGACAGAAACCUCAUGUUGUAUUUUAAGACUAGGUUCUGAAAUGCAGCUCAGUGUAAGCAGCAAGGUUAUUACAGCCUCAGACCACUGAAGCUACAAGAAGAGAAAGUAUUAUUUCAGAUGGGAAAUUUUGAUAUGUUUCAUCUUCUUUAUGUCUGUUUUAGGUCUUAUCUGUCAGUCUUGGAGUCUGCAAGGUUGCACCCAAUUAUAUCAUGGUUGGUUUGCUAUCUAUGUCAAGCUGAGUUAUACAAAACCACAAAAUAAGGUUUGGUUCUUAUCCUGAGACUGUCUCAUUAACUACAGCAUUGCACAAUUGUAUCAGUAAUAUCUGACUCUUAGCUAUAAUAAUUCACCAGGAUGAUGUCAUGUAGGCUGUCACGUUAUAAAUAGGAGGUACUAUGCAAAUAGAUUUGAUAACAAAAUGCCUUCCUUGCUUUUGAAGGUUGACUUUAGGGUCUUACUCUUUUUGUGUACAGAUGAAAGCUCCCAGCCUAAGGAGCUGUACCUCUUACUUCAUGGCAAUCUCAUUUUUUAACCCUUCCAACAUUUUUUAGUACUUUUUUCUUGUUAUCACCCCAAGUGUCUAUAUGCUUUUGCUUCCUAACAGUAAAUCAGGGGUCAAUGCAAGGCCAAAAUGAACCUUCACCUUUAGUUCAGACAUGCAUCCUUUUGGAAAGAAGUGUGCAGGUCAUUGUAUCUUGCAAUAUUUUGUCCUCUUCUGAAAGAAAAACUAAAAAUCCUCCCACUGAUAAGGGUGCAAUUACAUUCUAGGCCUGCUGCAUUUCUUUCCUACUUUUAUUCCCUCCUUUCUGCCUCUUUCCCUUUGCCACUCCCGCAGCUAAUUUAUAUUCAUACUAGUUGUAUAACUGGUAUUCUGAAGGGAAGUUUUGCUCAAAUGCACUACAUGUUAUUUUUGUGUGGACACUUAUUAUGAGUUCUGUCCCAUGCUAAAAUCAAAUUACUGUCAUCUGUUCAGUUGUAGAUUUUAUACACUACCAUGGAAAGAUUAGUAUUUUACAGUCAUUAUCUAUAAUGCAAUCUUGAUUACAUUUAAAUAUCUCAUUUUA